ACUCAACUGGCUCAGUUGGAAGAGCUUAGGACUCUUGAUCUUGGGGUUGUGAGUUCGAGCCCCACAUUAGGUG
rnacentral:tRNA from 1 species